AGCAGCAGGGCUCAGUGGGAAGAGCACAGGCUUGGGAGUCAGAGAUCGUGGGUUCUAAUCCCACUUCUGCCA
rnacentral:tRNA from 1 species